AAUUCCCGAUUGCUAUCAAAGUGAGAUUAACCCAUGCGAGUUAACGUACCAUUACGUGGCGCACGGCUCAUUAACACGUAUUCAACAUGCCCAAAGGACGUGAAUAACCUCGGGAAACUGAUUCUAAACCGCGAUAAGUGAGGAUUUCUGGAAUGGUUCCUGACUAAAAUCUAUAUGGCCUCUGGAUUGAACUGCGGCCGAUCAGGCUGUUGGUGAGGUAAUGGCCCACCAAACCUGUAACCGGUACGGGCUCUGAAAGGAGGAGCCCGGAAAUGGGCACUGAAACAAGGGCCCAGGCCCUAUGGGGCGCACCAGGCGCGAAACCUCUGCAAUAGGCGAAAGCCUGACAGGGUUACUCUGAUUGACUUUCGCUAAAAAAGUCUUUUGGCACCUCUAAAAAGGGUGCAAAAUAAGGGGUGGGCAAGUCUGGUGUCAC
rnacentral:rRNA from 1 species